AGUCAGAAAAUAAGAUACUAUUCUAAAAUAUAAUUUUUAAAUGAGAGGCCAUAUCAAAAUUUUGAUAAAUUUUAAAGUGGAUAGGCUAUAUUGAAAAUUUGAUAAACUUGUAGGGGUUAUCUAUGAUAUUACUCCAUUUUGGAUUUGAGCAUUUCAAUCGUCCAUUGCACAAAGAGGAAGAUGGUGUAGGAUAUGACUUUCAAGUUGUUUUUGCUUCCUUCAGCUCUUUUCAUUGAAGUCGGAUCUUGAGGGUGCCAAUGCCAACUUUCAAGUCGGAACCAUCCAGGUAUCAACUUUCCAAUUUUCCUAUUCAAUGUCGACUACUUUGCUAAAUAAUUGAAAACCAAUAUACUUUACAAAAUAUUUUUUUUUAACUCCUAUAUAUGAAAAAUAAAAGCCUGAGUUUCACUUACAAACACUUUUUUUGAAUAUGAUCAUUAUCUAACUCCUCACCAUGUUACUUUAUAACCUACUUUUGACUUUAGGGGGACUAUUGUUAUGCCAUACAUGCAAAGCCCGAUAAUGAAAGGGCCCAAAGAUGUUAUCUUAAAAUAUUUAAUACAUAAUGCCUAAUAAACAAAGCUUUGAUGCCACAAAGGAUUUACGUUAAGCAAUACUAACAUUCACAAACUCUCAGCAUAGUAACUAGACAAAACAAAAAGAAGAAACCAAUCCCAAAAUUGCUUGGGCUCUGAGGCUAAGAAAAUAAUGUGAGGGGUAAGAGUAAAGUAACUACAAAAAUUAAAAAGGCCUUAAGGGUUCACUAUUAAUCACCUUCUACCUUUAUUCAUUCUCUGUGAACCAUAACACAAACUUAAGCAUCUGAGAGCCAACUUUAGCACCCUUCAUAGCUUACAUUCUUCCCUUUUUGUAGAUUUCAUCACUUUCACAACCCGGUUGCCAGCCGAAAUCCUUAUUGAUCUAGUCAAACAUUAAUAAAGUACAAUAAAUAUAUAAAUAUAAGUUCGAUCAAUUAUAAUGUAAAAUCCAACCAGUACAAUGUACAACAAAAGAAGAAUCGAUCAAAGCCAAAUCAAUUUGAAAAGAAUCUGACAAAAUCUAAACAUGACAUAUUCACCCACAAUUUUUUAAUAUCUUAUAUGGACAAACAAAAUUUAAAAACGUAAUAGAAAUUUUAAAGUCCUUAAAUAAAUAAAUAAACCUCAGGAUAUAUAAAACUUUCAAAUAUCUUACAUUGAUAUAAAACGCAAGUAAACAAGAAGUUUAAAGUUCUAAAGGCAAAAGUAGCCUACGAAAUUAUGCUGUUCAAUCAAAGAACCAGCAAGAGUUCCAUGAUUUUCGAAAAGACAUUGAAUUCAAUUUGUCAUUAAAUUUCAUUGGUUCACGGAGAUCUUUUAAAAAAGUGAUGUCCAAUAAAUCAGAGUUCGGAUUAUAAAGAUAGAUGUAAUAUCAAAGACAGGGCGUGACCACAAAGUAAAAACCAAUGAACCCAUAAGGGCCAAAGUUCAGUGCAGAGAUUGGAGCAAUGGCUGGCUUGAAUUGACCAUUUCAUGCAAUAGCAAUGGUGUAUUUAAGAGUAAAAGGGGGAAGGGGGUGGUUCAUGGACCACUAUGACUUGCAAACUAGAGACCAAUGAUUUAUUGCUCUCAUUAAUAGCUUUGGGGCUGGCUGGCAUUUGCUGUCACUGACCAUGGCCAUCGAAGGAUUAUAUUUGUUGCUCAUCUGAUAAUGAAGGAUAUUAAAAUUUUAGAGAUUUUUAUGUGUCAGUAUUUGUGAUUAUUUUGUUUCAAUAAAUAAUUAUUUUUUAAAAAUAUUAUUUUGUUUUGAUAUGUAUAAGUUUGUUAUAAAAAAAUUAGGUUAUUAAAGUUUCAUGCCCAAAAAAUAAUUAUAAAAAAUGAAUAUUGAUAUUAAAAAUAAAUAUAUAAAAAAUUUCAAUAUGGAUAUAGUAAAUUUGUUAAAAUAUUAAAUAUUUUUAAUAAUGUAAAAACAUGAUGAUAAAUUUAGCCAUUAAUGUUUACAUCUUUUGUCAAUUUGACCCUUAUUUUUUAAAGUUAAAUUUAUUCUCCAACCCUUUAAAAAAAUCAAAUUUGACCAUCAACCUUUUAAAAAAAAGUUGAAUCAUUAUUUUUUUAAUGAAAAUACUGACUAAAAUAUUAAAAUUUUAAAUAUUAUAUCUUGCAUGACAAUCUACGUGUACCUAAUGUUUUUUUAAAUAUUUAUAUAUAUUUUUUUUGAAUUUUUUAUUUUUUAAAUAUUUUAUAAUUUUAAAAAUUAUUUGUUGGUGUGACUAUAUAAGACUAUGCCAACUGUAGUGACCAAUUUUGGCCCGAGCCCGCUAAAAACCCCAAAUAUAAAUAUAAUAUGUACAAAUAAAUAAAUAAAUAAAUAAAUAAUAAUAACCACAGUCCAUUAAUGUCCUAUUGCAAGCCCAAAGACCCAAAACAGUCCCUCUGGCCCAAAUCUAGUGGCCCAAUACUUAAAAUGAGCCCAAACGGCCCGAAAGCCAAGCCAAAUUUCGGCAAACCCUAGGGCAAAGGUGUCCUCGCGCCGCAGCCUUCACAAGCAGCAACCACAUCGCGCCGCAGCCUUCACACCGUACGAUGCCAGCGUCUCAGCAGCCAGCACAGCCCCGUACCCGAGCGCCACGCACCCGGUACUUGCAGAAAAGGGACAAACGCACAGCAAAACAAACAAAAACAACGAAGAACAUUGUAUUUUCGAUUUUUCUUUUUUAUUUUUACCCCAUUCGGCUAUAAAGCCAGGGGAUUUAAUCAGUUGUAAGGUUUUUUUUUACGCGCAAAUAUGCAACAAAAAUCACGAAAGCAAUACAAAGUAAUAAAAAAAAGGAGACUUUCGAAUCAAAAAAAUCCCUCAAUACUUUACUCCCUCCGUCUCUUUUUUUUUCUUUCGUGGGUUUGUGAUUCUGGUACUCGAAAAAGAGAAAGGAAUAAGAGGCUUACCUCGCGAGUUCGCCGUUAACUCCUCCUUGCUUCGCCGAAAUCGAGGGCAGAGGAGGGGUCUUGAGGCUGCAAAUGGUCUUCAAAAGGCGUAUACGCCGCGGUUGGGGACACUGGAGGCUAGGGCCAAAUGACAUGGCUGAAGGCGGCUAUGGAAAAUGGGUCUAGGGUUUGAAGGCUUUGAAAAUUUGGUAAAAUGGGGUUUUUAUACCUGUGGGGAUGACGUCGUUUGAGGCUUACUACCGUGGCCUAAAAAACGGCGUCGUAUAACCCUAUUCGUCCGACCCGAUCCAGUUUGC
rnacentral:lncRNA from 1 species